rnacentral:rRNA from 2 species
GGAAAGAUGAAAAGAACUUUGAAAAGAGAGUUAAACAGUACGUGAAAUUGUUGAAAGGGAAACGAUUGAAGUCAGUCAUACCAACGGGAAAUCAACCUUUUGAACUUUGUCUCGUGGGUUCGAAGAGUUUAAACGCCUUCGGGUUUGCGAGAUUGGGAUCUUCUGGUGUACUUUCUCGUACGGUUAGUCAACAUCGGUUUUGAAUGUCAUAAAAUGACUGGAGGAAUGUAGCUUCGAUCUCGUAUCGAAGUAUUAUAGCCUUUGGUAGAUGUGAUGUUUGAGACCGAGGAUUGCAACAGAUACCCUUUAAGGGCUACUCGUCUGAUCUCUGAUACGUUGCCUUGACGUUGAAAGCUUGCUUAUGAUGUUAGGGUAUUACGGUCAAAAGGUUAGAACGGAUUAAAUUCGUUAAGGAUGUUGACGUAAUGACUUUAAACGACCCGUCUUGAAACACGGACCA